UGGCGACGGGUGAGUAACACGUGAGUAACCUGCCCUUAACUCUGGGAUAAGCCUGGGAAACUGGGUCUAAUACCGGAUAUGACUCCUCAUCGCAUGGUGGGGGGUGGAAAGCUUUUUGUGGUUUUGGAUGGACUCGCGGCCUAUCAGCUUGUUGGUGAGGUAAUGGCUUACCAAGGCGACGACGGGUAGCCGGCCUGAGAGGGUGACCGGCCACACUGGGACUGAGACACGGCCCAGACUCCUACGGGAGGCAGCAGUGGGGAAUAUUGCACAAUGGGCGCAAGCCUGAUGCAGCGACGCCGCGUGAGGGAUGACGGCCUUCGGGUUGUAAACCUCUUUCAGUAGGGAAGAAGCGAAAGUGACGGUACCUGCAGAAGAAGCGCCGGCUAACUACGUGCCAGCAGCCGCGGUAAUACGUAGGGCGCAAGCGUUAUCCGGAAUUAUUGGGCGUAAAGAGCUCGUAGGCGGUUUGUCGCGUCUGCCGUGAAAGUCCGGGGCUCAACUCCGGAUCUGCGGUGGGUACGGGCAGACUAGAGUGAUGUAGGGGAGACUGGAAUUCCUGGUGUAGCGGUGAAAUGCGCAGAUAUCAGGAGGAACACCGAUGGCGAAGGCAGGUCUCUGGGCAUUAACUGACGCUGAGGAGCGAAAGCAUGGGGAGCGAACAGGAUUAGAUACCCUGGUAGUCCAUGCCGUAAACGUUGGGCACUAGGUGUGGGGGACAUUCCACGUUUUCCGCGCCGUAGCUAACGCAUUAAGUGCCCCGCCUGGGGAGUACGGCCGCAAGGCUAAAACUCAAAGGAAUUGACGGGGGCCCGCACAAGCGGCGGAGCAUGCGGAUUAAUUCGAUGCAACGCGAAGAACCUUACCAAGGCUUGACAUGAACCGGUAAUACCUGGAGACAGGUGCCCCGCUUGCGGUCGGUUUACAGGUGGUGCAUGGUUGUCGUCAGCUCGUGUCGUGAGAUGUUGGGUUAAGUCCCGCAACGAGCGCAACCCUCGUUCUAUGUUGCCAGCACGUGAUGGUGGGGACUCAUAGGAGACUGCCGGGGUCAACUCGGAGGAAGGUGGGGACGACGUCAAAUCAUCAUGCCCCUUAUGUCUUGGGCUUCACGCAUGCUACAAUGGCCGGUACAAAGGGUUGCGAUACUGUGAGGUGGAGCUAAUCCCAAAAAGCCGGUCUCAGUUCGGAUUGGGGUCUGCAACUCGACCCCAUGAAGUCGGAGUCGCUA
rnacentral:rRNA from 1 species